AGGGUCAUUCAUGUCCGCAGGCACGUUCUUCAUUUUUUUAAAUCCUUUGUAUUUUUAAUAUGUAUAUGCAAAACUUACAGCUAUUGUAAAUCUUUGUGUUUUUUAAACAAAUAUGUGACUGUAUGUUGAAUCAUAUAUAAGGUGGUGUAUCAAUUAGAAAGUCUAUAUAUUUCUUUGUUCAUAAAGAUGUUCAUUCGUGUUGUUUAAACAAAUGCAAACGGUAUGUGAUCAGUAACUCAAAAUGUAAUGUACUAGUUUUGUGCAUGCACAAUCGUUUAUUGUAAGUAAUUAUGUUGAAAAUAUGUUGAACUUUAUUGUGUUAUAAAUUUAAAAAAAAUAAUGUAUUA
rnacentral:lncRNA from 1 species